rnacentral:rRNA from 1 species
CCUACGGGUGGCAGCAGUGAGGAAUAUUGGUCAAUGGUCGGGAGACUGAACCAGCCAAGCCGCGUGAGGGAUGAAGGUACAGCGUAUCGUAAACCUCUUUUGUCAGGGAACAAAGGCGGGGACGUGUCCCCGGCUGCGUGUACCUGAAGAACAAGCAUCGGCUAACUCCGUGCCAGCAGCCGCGGUACUACGGAGGAUGCGAGCGUUAUCCGGAUUUAUUGGGUUUAAAGGGUGCGCAGUCGGUCUGUUAAGUCAGCGGUAAAAGCCCGGGGCUCAACCCCGGCCCGCCGUUGAAACUGGCAGUCUCGAGUGGGAGAGAAGUAGGCGGAAUGCGCGGUGUAGCGGUGAAAUGCAUAGAUAUCGCGCAGAACUCCGAUUGCGAAGGCAGCAUGCCGGCUCCACACUGACGCUGAGGCACGAAAGCGUGGGUAUCGAACAGGAUUAGAUACCCUUGUAGUC